rnacentral:rRNA from 1 species
UACGAAGGGUGCAAACGUUGCUCGGAAUUAUUGGGCGUAAAGCGCACGUAGGCGGCUUAGCAAGUUGGAUGUGAAAUCCCUCGGCUCAACCAAGGAAGUGCAUCCAAAACUGCUGAGCUUGAGUACUUAAGAGGAUCGCGGAAUUCCCGGUGUAGAGGUGAAAUUCGUAGAUAUCUGGAGGAACACCGGUGGCGAAGGCGGCGUUCUGGACUGCAACUGACACUGAUGAACGAAAGCCAGGGGAGCAAACGGG